GUGACGAAAUAUCCGUGUUUAUAAGAGAAGUUUUGCUCUGUCACCGCAGUCUAGGAGGUGGAAAGAAGAAGUAAGGUUAUUCUAGCUUUGAUAUAUUUUCGCCAAGAUGGAAUUGCCACAUUUAGGAACUCAUUGUUCCAACAAGUCUUGUAAACAACUCGAUUUUCUGCCAAUGAAAUGUGAUGCAUGUUCACAAAUCUUUUGUGGAGACCACAUUACGUACAAUUGUCAUCAGUGUACAGAAUCUUAUAAAAAGGAUAAUCAGGUACCAGUGUGUCCCCUGUGUAACCAGCCUAUACCCAUAAAGAAAGACGAGAUGCCGGACGUCGUGGUAGGACAACACAUUGAUAACGAUUGUCAGUCGGACCCAGCCAGGAAACGCCGCAAGAUUUAUACAAAUAGAUGUUCACACAAAGGCUGUAAACACAAGGAACUGAUUCCAGUUACCUGUGAUAAAUGUCGGAAGAACUUUUGUUUAAAACAUCGUAAUGAAAUGGACCAUGACUGUAAAGGCUUUGAGAAUUCAGGCAGAGGAGUGUCUAAAACAGGAGCUGCAGCUGUAUUUAGAAACCAAACACAGCCUACUAGACCAUCUGCUACAGGGUCUUCAAAGGCCAAACCACAACAGUCCACACUCACACAGCACAACUUUGGUCGAGACCUUGACAGAGAGAGACGAGAGAGACAGAUUGGACAGGGAGGCAGUCGUGCUGUACAGGGGGGUAUGACGGAGGAAGAAGCCUUGGCGAGAGCUAUUCAGAUGUCCAUGGCAGAAACACCCGCACCUCACAACACUAAUACCUCAAACAAACCGUUGACCCAGCAGGAGCAGGAUGACCUUUUACUGGCCCAGGCCAUUGCUGCCAGCCAAGAGGAAGCAAAUCAAGAACAACGCAGAAGGCAGCAGACCAGUCAGAACAAGAAGUCGUGUAGUCUCUCCUGACGGGGUCGUCUGACUUGUUCACUCAACUUCGUAUACCGCAAUCUCUCCUGUCUGAGCUUCAGGAGUGUUCACUGUACUGAUCUAGUCUCCCGACUUGUGUUUCUCUGUGGGUGUGGUCAUUGGACUGUGAACCUUGGACAAUUUCAUUGCUGAAGUCUUUCCUGGUGGAGGAUUGGAUGUGUGAACCAGAAUGUGUAUCUGUAUGUUCACUGGACUGUUUCUCAUUGUGGAGUUGUUAACAUAUGACAGUAGCGUUCAUGGACUCCCUCCUUGUCCUAUCCUAGGUUCUAGGGGAGACUUGUCCUAUACUAGGUUCUAGGGGAGGCUUGUCCUAUACUAGGUUCUAGGGAAGGCUUGUCUAUUCUAGGUUCUAGGGGAGGAGUGUCCUAUCCUAGGUUCUAGGGGAGGAGUGUCCUAUACUAGGUUCUAGGGGAGGUGUGUCCUAUACUAGGUUCUAGGGGAGGAUUGUCCUAUACUAGGUUCUAGGGAAGGCUUGUCUAUUCUAGGUUCUAGGGGAGGAGUGUCCUAUACUAGGUUCUAGGGGAGGCUUGUCCUAUUCUAGGUUCUAGGGGAGGUGUGUCCUAUUCUAGGUUCUAGGGGAGGAUUGGCCUAUACUAGGUUCUAGGGGAGGCUUGUCCUAUACUAGGUUCUAUGGGAGGCUUGUCCUAUACUAGGUUUUAGUGGAGGCUUGUCCUAUACUAGGUUCUAGGGGAGGUGUGUCCUAUACUAGGUUCUAGGGGCGGCUUGUCCUAUACUAGGUUCUAGGGGAGGCUUGUCCUAUACUGGGUUCUAGGGAAGGCUUGUCUAUUCUAGGUUCUAGGGGAGGAGUGUCCUAUACUAGGUUCUAGGGGAGGUGUGUCCUAUUCUAGGUUCUAGGGGAGGAUUGGCCUAUACUAGGUUCUAGGGGAGGCUUGUCCUAUUCUAGGUUCUAGGGGAGGUGUGUCCUAUUCUAGGUUCUAGGGGAGGUUUGUCCUAUACUAGGUUCUAGGGGAGGAUUGUCCUAUUCUAGGUUCUAGGGGAGGCUUGUCCUAUACUAGGUUCUGGGGGAGGAUUGUCCUAUACUAGGUUCUAGGGGAGGCUUGUCCUAUACUAGGUUCUAUGGGAGGCUUGUCCUAUACUAGGUUUUAGGGGAGGCUUGUCCUAUACUAGGUUCUAGGGGAGGUGUGUCCUAUCCUAGGUUCUAGGGGUGAAUUGUCCUAUUCUAGGUUCUAGGGGAGGCUUGUCAUAUACUAGGUUCUAGGGGAGGUGUGUCCUAUACUAGAUUCUAGGGGAGGAUUGUCCUAUACUAGGUUCUAGGGAAGGAUUGUCCUAUCCUAGGUUCUAGGGGAGGCUUGUCCUAUACUAGGUUCUAUGGGAGGCUUGUCCUAUACUAGGUUUUAGGGGAGGCUUGUCCUAUACUAGGUUCUAGGGGAGGUUUGUCCUAUUCUAGGUUCUAGGGGAGGAUUGUCCUAUACUAGGUUCUAGGGAAGGCUUGUCUAUUCUAGGUUCUAGGGGAGGAGUGUCCUAUACUAGGUUCUAGGGGAGGCUUGUCCUAUUCUAGGUUCUAGGGGAGGUGUGUCCUAUUCUAGGUUCUAGGGGAGGAUUGGCCUAUACUAGGUUCUAGGGGAGGCUUGUCCUAUUCUAGGUUCUAGGGGAGGUGUGUCCUAUUCUAGGUUCUAGGGGAGGCUUGUCCUAUACUAGGUUCUAGGGGAGGCUUGUCCUAUACUAGGUUCUAGGGGAGUCUUGUCCUAUACUAGGUUCUAGGGGAGGCUUGUCCUAUUCUAGGUUCUAGGGGAGGCUUGUCAUAUACUAGGUUCUAGGGGAGGUGUGUCCUAUACUAGAUUCUAGGGGAGGAUUGUCCUAUACUAGGUUCUAGGGGAGGCUUGUCCUAUUCUAGGUUCUAGGGGAGGUGUGUCCUAUUCUAGGUUCUAGGGGAGGAUUGGCCUAUACUAGGUUCUAGGGGAGGCUUGUCCUAUACUGGGUUCUAGGGAAGGCUUGUCUAUUCUAGGUUCUAGGGGAGGAGUGUCCUAUCCUAGUUUCUAGGGGAGGAGUGUCCUAUACUAGGUUCUAGGGGAGGCUUGUCCUAUACUAGGUUCUGGGGGAGGAUUGUCCUAUACUAGGUUCUAGGGAAGGCUUGUCCUAUCCUAGGUUCUAGGGGAGGCUUGUCCUAUACUAGGUUCUACUGUAUACCAUGUUUUCAAUAAUAAGUUAAAGGAGGAGUUGUUAUAGUACAUACUGUACAAAGAAAUAAGUGGAUUACUUUAUCAUCAGUCCAAACAAAGUCAAGCUUUGCCAAAGUCCUCAUUUAAGAUUAAUUAUUCUUUUUAAUGUCUAGGAUUUGGAUUAAAUUAAUGAAAGAUGGGGAGACAGAUAUUAAUUCAAGAUGAAAGCAAAAAAAGUUGACAGGUUUUCUUUUUUUCCUUUUACUUCCUGAUUAUUAUAUUUAAUGUAUCAAUACUUUGCCGAUGCAGUUUUUGAAGUGUCUCUGGGAGUCUGACUUUAGUAGGGAGUUACCAUGAAAAGCUAUUCAAAUGUAAAAAAAAUGUGGAAAUAGCUUGAUAUAUCAAUCAAUGGCAGAUAUUUGCUGGGUAUUGAUGAAAAAAAAUUGUCACUGAAGGCACGAUAAUACAUGUAAUGCAAUAUGAUUUUAAGAGCAUGGAUGAGUGAACACAUGUAUUUUGUGUGUGUACCAUUUGUGCGUGUUCCUCAGGUUUGUUUUAAAAGUAGCACAAUCUUUAUUUGAAUAUUUUGCAGACAUUAUUUAAGAUUUAAUGAUUUAAGAGUUUUAGACCAAUGUGAUGUACAAUUUAAAGAAUGGGUAUUUGUGUUGUCUUGUAAACCUGUUUUUGCUGCCUUAGAAUCUAUUCAAAGUGAUAUGACAUGUAUGUUCUAUGUGCAUAACAUACAAGAGCAAUUACUAGUUCAGCUGAUCUUGAUUUUGUAAAAGAUUUUAAAUGAUUUGAAUGAAACUAAAAAACAUUUUAGGACUAUUACAUCAAAGUGAGGUUCAUGAUCACAACUGCGUGUCGGGGGUUGUCAGAGGUCACUGUUGUAGGAUUGAGAUUUCAUCUUAAUGAUCAAUCAUACACAAAAUAAUUUUAAUUCAAAUUCGUGAAAAUGCUGUUGAACGUCAUACUUCAAAUGAAGUUACAUUGUGACACGUCUUCUCUGCCAGAAGCUGGAAUAGUGUAUAAAAUAUUGCCUACCCGAUGGAAUAUGAAUGUUCUGAUUGAGGUUAUUUCCCCAACUCCUGUUGGUUGGUUAUUUAUCUUGUUUAAUUUGGCUAUCAUUGGUUUAAUUUUCAAAUUGUUCAAAGACACUCUGUAAAGUUCAUGUCAGUUUGACAAUUCACCAACUUUAGCUCAACAUGAUAACCAACCUUCAAUAUUGUUUGAGAAGCUCACUUUAUUUUACCUUAUCAUGUCAUUAAUUUGUUACAAGCCUUUUAACUGUUAUUUGUAUUUAAAAUUUAUUCAUAUAUAUAUGAAACUGUUUUAUUCAAAUAAAUAAUUUAUU